GUCGCUGUUUAGUGAUAAGCUUCCCGGAGAGGCUUCAGACACAGUGAACAAACAUUUAAUCAUGAGUUUGUGUAGUUGUGUAUUCACACGCGCACAUAGAAGCCCCCCCCCCGCUGCUUUGGAGGACUUUAGCAGAUAAAAAGGGUCAGGUGCUUUACCUGCUUGUCGCUGACAAAAGAAGGCUGAAAGCAGUUAUUGCAUUUCAUUCAUCUUGGUCAUUCACUUGAGCAUCGAGAUUUUAUAAACAGAUAAAGUGAGUCCUAAUGAUUUUUCACUGCGGUUUUAAGUAACUAGAUUAUAACCAAAAGGAACUGGGACGCUGAUCUCAUCAAGGACACAAGUCAUGUUAUCUCGCUGAAAGGUGACACACGUUUUUCCGUGAUGAAUGCCUGAGCAGAUCACCAUUUGAGACUGGGCGGAUCACUGAAGAUUGUUACAAAAAAGAAUCAACAGCAGAUAACUCUCUCUCUCACUCGUGCAGAUGCGUGCCAAAGGAUUGUGGGUCGGGAUUGACAGUAAAGCCUGCUGACCUGACCAGAUGCGGGACGUCCUGUAAUUUUUGACAUGCAUUGAUGGGAUGACGUCAUCAAAGCGGACUCCUAAAGACCAGCAACAGAGCUGAGGUUUAGUCUGCAGCGAUUGGAUCCGCCCCGGGUUUUGGCUGUCGACACGCUGUGUGCGCUGACUAGACCUUUUAUUGCGGCCUUCAUCCCCAGCUGGCUGCUCAACCUCUUCAUCCUGGCAUGUUGUGCCCUUCCUCUCUGAGUCGAUGCCACAACAGUCUGUGAAGCAUCAUCUGGUUGACUGCACCACUGCAGAAACAGUCUGUACGGAGUGGAGCAGGCAGGGGAAGACAGUACAAAGACCAUACGCAACACACAUACGUGUGUGUGUGUGUGUGUGUGUGUGUGUGUGUGUGUGUGUGUGCACUUGCACAUUUUGGGGCGUGAGGGAAAUAAAUUUAAAUGGGAAAGAAAAAGAAACGGGCCUUUAUAUGUUCACUGUCAUUGUGGGCUAUUUGUGACAAAAAAUGUAUAACAUCUCUUGUACUGCAACAAAAU
ensembl:lncRNA